AAAAGCUUCCUACUUCCAAGCCCAAAAACCUGCUCUGCGACUGAGCAUGCCCUGAACUAACUGCGGGCGCCCUGAGACUUCUGGAUUGGGAUGUAAUCCGGUCUCCGGGUUUUGACCGCACUCGAGCGGGGAGGUGGGUACGACCCGCGGGACCCUGCCCCGAGAGAGCUGCAGGUACCAGAAGCUACCCCUUUCCUAGUCGGAACAGUAUCUCAGACUUGGAGUACCUCCUGUUUUCUUUGUGCAAGGCUGCAGUGCACAGAGUCGGUCAGAGAAGACAGAGUAGCGUUUCUGUGGCGAACGGUUUAGAAAAAUCUAUGGGGCAGGUUUGCUCCGCCGGCUGCUCGUGCAUUCCACGGCACCCACAGGACUUCGGGUUUCCGGCCCCCAGACCCACGCCCGCCCGGGGCUGAGUGAAUGGCGUCCUUGGGCCUUUGAUAACGGGAGUUGGCAAGACCACAGCCUACUCCAUCCCUGAGGCGGCCCGCCGCGCCCACGUGCUUCUCGCAGAGCCGCCGCCCUUGUCCACCACUCCCACAGCUGUAAAAUAAAGCGGCCUGCAUGCUUCCUACAGCGCUUUCCUCGCUCCCAUAUACGCACACACACCCCAUCUUCCAG
rnacentral:lncRNA from 1 species